GCUAGGAUUCUUUUACUAAAAGCUCGUUUGUCUGCGCUGCUUCCUUGUUGCUAAAGCCCUAUCCAUGGCUUCUUCAUUUGUUGCAGUAUCAAAACCUUUCUUCUUUAGCAAAACUACUUCUCCUUCUCUCUCUCACCAGAGACUUGUAGGAUUGAGGAAAAAUUCUCUCAGAAUCAAUGCAAUUGCAAAAAAAUGGGAACCCACUAAGGUUGUUCCCCAAGUGGAUAGAGUCCUUAUUCGUCUUGAAGAAUUAUCUGAGAAAUCAACUGGUGGAGUUUUGUUGCCUAAAUCAGCUGUGAAAUUUGAGAGGUACCUAAUGGGAGAGGUACUAUAUGUUGGUAACGAGGUUGGGGAAGUGGAAGCUGGAAAGAAGGUUCUUUUCUCAGACAU
rnacentral:misc_RNA from 1 species